ACUCCUACGGGAGGCAGCAGUGGGGAAUAUUGGACAAUGGGGGCAACCCUGAUCCAGCCAUGCCGCGUGAGUGAUGAAGGCCUUAGGGUUGUAAAGCUCUUUCAGCGAGGAGGAUAAUGACGUUACUCGGCAGAAGAAGCCCCGGCUAACUUUCGUGCCAGCAGCCGCGGUAAUACGAAGGGGCUAGCGUUGUUCGGAAUCACUGGGCGUAAAGCGCACGUAGGCGGAUUGAUAAGUUAGGGGUGAAAUCCCGGGGCUCAACCUCGGGAACUGCCUUUUGAACUGUCAGUCUUGAGUCCCGAGAGAGGUGAGUGGAACUCCGAGUGUAGAGGUGAAAUUCGUAGAUAUUCGGAAGAACACCAGUGGCGAAGGCGGCUCACUGGCUCGGUACUGACGCUGAGGUGCGAAGCGUGGGGAGCAAACAGGAUUAGAUACCCUGGUAGCUACGAG
rnacentral:rRNA from 1 species